rnacentral:tRNA from 1 species
GGCACCAUGGCUUAGUUGGCUAAAGCACCAGCCUAGUAAGCAGGAGAUCCUGGGUUCAACUCCCAGUGGUGCCU